rnacentral:rRNA from 1 species
AUUGAACGCUGGCGGCAUGCCUUACACAUGCAAGUCGAACGGCAGCACGGGGGCAACCCUGGUGGCGAGUGGCGAACGGGUGAGUAAUACAUCGGAACGUGUCCUGUAGUGGGGGAUAGCCCGGCGAAAGCCGGAUUAAUACCGCAUACGCUCUACGGAGGAAAGGGGGGGAUCUUAGGACCUCCCGCUACAGGGGCGGCCGAUGGCAGAUUAGCUAGUUGGUGGGGUAAAGGCCUACCAAGGCGACGAUCUGUAGCUGGUCUGAGAGGACGACCAGCCACACUGGGACUGAGACACGGCCCAGACUCCUACGGGAGGCAGCAGUGGGGAAUUUUGGACAAUGGGGGCAACCCUGAUCCAGCAAUGCCGCGUGUGUGAAGAAGGCCUUCGGGUUGUAAAGCACUUUUGUCCGGAAAGAAAACGCCGUGGUUAAUACCCGUGGCGGAUGACGGUACCGGAAGAAUAAGCACCGGCUAACUACGUGCCAGCAGCCGCGGUAAUACGUAGGGUGCAAGCGUUAAUCGGAAUUACUGGGCGUAAAGCGUGCGCAGGCGGUCCGCUAAGACAGAUGUGAAAUCCCCGGGCUUAACCUGGGAAC